rnacentral:lncRNA from 1 species
CUAUCCUGGGCCUGGUAAAUCUGAAAAGGAGACAAAGAAUAUUUUCUUCACUUGACAUCAACCAUCCUAAGUCAGGCAACUGCAAGAGAAGCAUGAACCACGGAAAUGAGAGAACUCAUGGCACCUGACCAGCAUCAACCGCCUUGCUCCUCAUGACACUCAGGGGGAAAUGUCUGUAACUCAAGCAACAGAGACUUCACCUCUUCACCCUGAGGACUUAAAAUGAUAAUGUGACUCUUCCCCUUGGGUUCUAUGGUAGAAAAUAAUGGGAGACCCAAGGGUGUGAUGAGAUAGUAAGAGGCUGUCCAUACCGCCUCUCUGCUGUUGGGUCUCCCUGCCAUAUACUUUAUAUCCUGCCAAUCAUGUGGAAUUCCAUGUACCCAAAACAUUGUCAAGGAUGCUGGGCAUCUGCUUGCAUGUGUUCAUCUCCAUGUACCAUAGGCUCCUUCUUAAAGACCUGGUGGCUUCCUGUUCAGGUCCAAGCUGGCAUGUGUUCAUCUCCAUGUUCCAUAGGCUCCUUCUUAAAGACCUGGUGGCUUCUUGUUCAGGAUCAAGCCUCAGUUUAUUCAAUUCUCCUACCAAUUCCUCUCCCUCCCACCUUUCUGGCCACUUUCCAACCAGAACUAUGACCAGUUCUGCUGACUUCUUUCCAACCUAAUGCUUUACCUGCUUCGUUAUGUUACAACCUUUCUUGGCUGUCUUGUACUUUCUUCAUCUUUAGGGCAUCAAGUUUCCACCUUUGAAUUUCUGGGACGAGUCACAAGGCUUGGAACAUACUAGAUGCAUAAAAAUGGCAUGCACGCUCACCUACUCUGAAUCUCCAGCCUGGAAGAGCAGCUUCUCCUCUGAAAUAAGCGUGAGUUGGGUUCUGAGCCAAGUAGAAGAACACCCAGGGCCUUCCAGGGUCAGUUUGGAUUCUGUCCUUGCUGGACAUAAUCCUCCUGAGAGCACUGAAGACAACCCUGGGCAAAGUGAGACAAGCA